AUACAGAGGGUGCGAGCGUUAAUCGGAAUUACUGGGCGUAAAGCGCGCGCAGGCGGCCUGAUAAGUUGGAUGUGAAAGCCAACGGCUCAACCGUAGAACUGCAUCCAAAACUGUCAGGCUAGAGUGUGGGAGAGGAAGAUGGAAUUAGUUGUGUAGGGGUAAAAUCCGUAGAGAUAACUAGGAAUACCAAAAGCGAAGGCAAUCUUCUGGAACACUACUGACGCUGAGGCGCGAAGGCGUGGGGAGCAGACAGGAUUAGAAACCCCGGUAGUCC
rnacentral:rRNA from 1 species